UACGUAGGAUGCAAGCGUUGUCCGGAAUUAUUGGGCGUAAAGGGCGCGCAGGCGGUGGUUCAAGUCAGACGUGAAAGGCUCCGGCUAAACCGGGGAAGGUCGUUUGAAACUGAACUACUAGAGUGCAGCAGAGGAAGGUAGAAUUCUGGGUGUAGUGGUGAAAUGCGUAGAUAUCCAGAGGAAUACCAGUGGCGAAGGCGGCCUUCUGGGCUGUAACUGACGCUGAGGCGCGAAGGCUAGGGUAG
rnacentral:rRNA from 1 species